UACGUAGGGCGCGAGCGUUGUCCGGAAUUAUUGGGCGUAAAGAGCUCGUAGGCGGUUUGUCGCGUCUGCUGUGAAAACCCGAGGCUCAACCUCGGGCCUGCAGUGGGUACGGGCAGACUAGAGUGCGGUAGGGGAGAUUGGAAUUCCUGGUGUAGUGGUGGAAUGCGUAGAUAUCGGGAGGAACACCAGUGGCGAAGGCGGUUGCCUGGGGCUUUGCUGACGCUGAUGCGCGAAAGCGUGGGGAGCGAUCCGG
rnacentral:rRNA from 1 species